rnacentral:rRNA from 1 species
GGAGUCUGGGCCGUAUCUCAGUCCCAAUGUGGCCGUUCAACCUCUCAGUCCGGCUACUGAUCGCAGCCUUGGUAGGCCGUUACCCUACCAACUAGCUAAUCAGACGUGAGCCCAUCCCUCAGCGGAUUGCUCCUUUGGUAUCCAGAAGAUGCCUCCCGGAUACGUCAUGCGGUAUUAGCAGUCGUUUCCAACUGUUGUCCCCCUCUGAAGGGCAGGUUGCUCACGCGUUACUCACCCGUUCGCCACUCAGUCAAAGAAGAACUUUGACGAAUCUCCGUUCUUCAGUGCUUCGUUCGACUUGCAUGUGUUAGGCAUGCCGCCAGCGUUCAUC